UACGUAGGUGACAAGCGUUGUCCGGAUUUACUGGGCGUAAAGAGCGCGCAGGCGGUCGAUCAAGUCGAGUGUGAAAGCCCCCGGCUCAACUGGGGAGGGUCAUUCGAUACUGAUCGACUCGAAGGCAGGAGAGGGUAGUGGAAUUCCCGGUGUAGUGGUGAAAUGCGUAGAUAUCGAGAGGAACACCAGUGGCGAAGGCGAGUCCCUGGACAACACCUGACACUGAGGCACGAAAGCUAGGGGAGCAAACGGG
rnacentral:rRNA from 1 species